CACCGACACCUGAUGUGAGUGAGUGAUUGGACACCAGGUGUUGUUGAUCAGUUGAAUUGGAGCAGAGCAAUAUAAGAGCAGACCAGCUUCAGGACAGACACAGUACUGAGUUCAACCUGCUGGAGUUUAACUGUUUGUGCUGCUUUAGUGUUUGGAGUUUCAAAAUGAUGCUUGGACUGGUUCUGAGGGUUUCUGGGAUUUGUUUCCUGCUCUUCAACAGUGGUGCUUGUUACCCUGCGGUUAAAGGCGGUCAGACAAAUCCUAAUGCAGCUGCCACCAGUGGGCUUAGUGGAUCUCUUCCUUAUGCCGCUGCUCCUGCAGCCGGCGGCUUAGGUUACAGACCUGUGCCUUACGGAAACCCGGCUGUUGCAGGUGUUCCUGGAGGAGCAGACUCCUCAUUCUACAACCCAAGCAACUGGAUGCCAUCCCGUGGUUUUCCAGACUUCAGCGUCUGGGAAACGGAUAACCAGGAGAUGGCGCAGAGCGGGAAGGAUCAGUCUGAUGUGCCGCCUCCAGCCAUCAUCAUCCAGUCCUGGAAUGGCUACCAGCGAGCAAGAGAAGACCUUUCCCACACAAAGUACUCCCUAGACUACUAUGACCCACCAGCCUUUCCCUGGGAGGCUGCCAAAGCACCGAGCAAGACCAGUGAGAGAAGAAAGGUGAACUGAUGAAACCUUGACCCUUGUGGAUGCUUUCAGUCAUUUAAUAAAACUAUAACACGUAUUUUCCUGUCAAUGUCUUCUAACUCAAAGAUUUCUCAAGUGUAGUCAAUGAUUUCCUUAAAAUAAGGGGUGAAGUUGUCUUUAAAAUCACUAGCAUUGCUCUGCUAGUUAAGGUUUCCCUCAAUUUUGAAUAUAUUCAUGUUAAUGGCCAUUGACUUAAACUUGUACUAAACUUAGCUUGAAGGAAAUUACUACCAGAUUUGUUAAAGGGCCAUCUGGGAAGUUGCUGUUGGCAACUAAAAGAGGGGCAGGUUAGCUGCACAGCAGCUGAGAAAACACAGUUGCCUACUUUUCAAUCUUUCAUCAGGAAACUCUAAAUGACCUAACAUUGUUCCCUAUCUCAGAGGCUGUUUGAGCCCAGUUCUGUUGCCAGUUGACCCUGAGCAGUUAGAGGACAUAAGGGAGAACCAGAAGUUUUCCAUAAUGACUAAAGCUAUAAAGUAGGUCUUUGUUCAGUAAUCAGUGAAGUCAUAGAUGUCUAACGCAUUGGCCCUCAAACAUUCUGCUCUGGUGUCAGUUUCAUUGGCCAAUAAAUUAAUUCUUUGUUAAAUACCAUUUCCUGUGAAUUUGAAUACCUAAUGUAAAAUCUAAAUGACUACCUAUUCAAAGAACUUCCCUUUUCAUAAAAUGUGCCAAUCAACUUUUGCAAUGACAAGUAUUUUCUCAAAUUUUACAUGGAUUUGUUAAUUGACAUUAAUUAUGAAAGUUUCCACAAAGAAAUAAGCAUACUAAUUUCACAGAUGACUACACUUCUAAAACUAUUCAGAUUACAAUAAAUCAAAUAACAGCACUCUUCUCUCAAUUUAAGCCUGGUUAUUUGUAUUAUAG
rnacentral:lncRNA from 15 species